GUUUUUCUGGUGAGUAAUGUUUUACUGGUUAAGCUAAUUUAUAACUAUUACAUACUUUCUCAUUUUCUUUUUGAUGAAAUUUACAUUUGUACAAAAAAAAAAGCCAUUAAUUUAUAUAGGAUCUUUUAAUCUAGGCGGUGUAACUUUAGAUAAACAAUAUUUUUAAGCGUUCUUUAAUGCAACACAUGAUUAUGAGCUACCAUUUCAAGUUGUUGCGAUGCAAUCGAUCGAUUUCUUGGUUUGCGUUGUUUCUUGGACAAGAAGGAAGAACAAACAGGUCCCCACGCACUCAGAGGAAGCUUGUUGCCCAAUUUGUGAUUUAUGCUAUAUGGAAGCAGCGUUAAAACGUCCUACCCAACCAGAUUCUCA